rnacentral:ncRNA from 2 species
ACUUUUGCACUGAAUUUUGGUGGAAAUACGUAUUACAAACGUAUGACCUUAAAAUGGGAAUGCCGUUAAAAUCGGCAACUGUACCCGCAACUGUAAGUCACUCAUUUAUUUGAGCUUGUACAAUCUUAAAACCACUGUAGCAAUAUGGGAAGGUAUGUACAUUAAAGACAAGUCAGGAGACCUGCCAAGUUCUUAAUCAUCUU